UGCCAUGUGUUGGUGACUGUGUGGUUAUUGCUGAGGAUGAUGGACUUUGGGACACCGACGCCUGCACAGACACCAACGUAUAUGUUUGCAUCAAGGACGUGCACCGCACCCACCACUAACCACUCAUCUUACCGUGCUGUCUUCUAUCACAAUGGAGUUUGCUAAUCAUGAUGACUCACUGAGACAGCAUCAAACCUUUGCGGUGUCUUUAUUUGUUGAUGGGUUGACUACAAAUUUCUCUUUUUCUCACAACACUCACCUGUGAUUGACAACACAUUGGCAAUGUCAAAGAGCAUCUCUCUGUUCAAUAAAGGAAUCUAUCUGCA